AGAGAUAAGUGCUGAAAGCAUCUAAGCACGAAACUUGCCCCGAGAUGAGUUCUCCCUGACUCCUUGAGAGUCCUGAAGGAACGUUGAAGACGACGACGUUGAUAGGCCGGGUGUGUAAGCGCAGCGAUGCGUUGAGCUAACCGGUACUAAUGAACCGUGAGGCUUAACCUUACAACGCCGAAGCUGUUUUGGCGGAUGAGAGAAGAUUUUCAGCCUGAUACAGAUUAAAUCAGAACGCAGAAGCGGUCUGAUAAAACAGAAUUUGCCUGGCGGCCGUAGCGCGGUGGUCCCACCUGACCCCAUGCCGAACUCAGAAGUGAAACGCCGUAGCGCCGAUGGUAGUGUGGGGUCUCCCCAUG
rnacentral:rRNA from 1 species